rnacentral:rRNA from 1 species
AGCGAACGCUGGCGGCAGGCUUAACACAUGCAAGUCGAGCGGGCGUAGCAAUACGUCAGCGGCAGACGGGUGAGUAACGCGUGGGAACGUACCUUUUGGUUCGGAACAACUGAGGGAAACUUCAGCUAAUACCGGAUAAGCCCUUACGGGGAAAGAUUUAUCGCCGAAAGAUCGGCCCGCGUCUGAUUAGCUAGUUGGUGAGGUAACGGCUCACCAAGGCGACGAUCAGUAGCUGGUCUGAGAGGAUGAUCAGCCACAUUGGGACUGAGACACGGCCCAAACUCCUACGGGAGGCAGCAGUGGGGAAUAUUGGACAAUGGGCGCAAGCCUGAUCCAGCCAUGCCGCGCGAGUGAUGAAGGCCCUAGGGUUGUAAAGCUCUUUUGUGCGGGAAGAUAAUGACGGUACCGCAAGAAUAAGCCCCGGCUAACUUCGUGCCAGCAGCCGCGGUAAUACGAAGGGGGCUAGCGUUGCUCGGAAUCACUGGGCGUAAAGGGUGCGUAGGCGGGUCUUUAAGUCAGGGGUGAAAUCCUGGAGCUCAACUCCAGAACUGCCUUUGAUACUGAGGAUCUUGAGUUCGGGAGAGGUGAGUGGAACUGCGAGUGUAGAGGUGAAAUUCGUAGAUAUUCGCAAGAACACCAGUGGCGAAGGCGGCUCACUGGCCCGAUACUGACGCUGAGGCACGAAAGCGUGGGGAGCAAACAGG